UACGGAGGAUGCAAGCGUUAUCCGGAAUGAUUGGGCGUAAAGCGUCCGCAGGUGGCAAUGUAAGUCUGCUGUCAAAGCAUCUGGCUCAACCAGAUAAAGGCAGUGGAAACUACAUAGCUAGAGUAAAGUAGGGGUAGAGGGAAUUCCUGGUGUAGCGGUGAAAUGCGUAGAGAUCAGGAAGAACACCGGUGGCGAAGGCGCUCUGCUAGGCCGCAACUGACACUGAGGGACGAAAGCUAGGGGAGCGAACAGG
rnacentral:rRNA from 1 species